AACGCACAUUGCGCCCGCCAGCACUCUGGCGGGCAUGCCUGUUCGAGCGUCAUUUCAACCCUCAGGGCCCCCCGCGGGCGCCUGGCGUUGGGGAUUGGCAGCCAGCCAGCCCCUAAAUCUAGUGGCGGUCCCUCCGCGACCUCCCCUGUGCAGUAGCGAUACCUCGCAGCGGGACAGCGGUCUGACCACGCCGUAAAACCCCCUACUUCUCAAGGUUGACCUCGGAUCAGGUAGGACUACCCGCUGAACUUAA
rnacentral:misc_RNA from 1 species